rnacentral:tRNA from 1 species
UGGUGGUUCAGUGGUAGAAUUCCUGCCUUCUAUGUGGGAGACCCAGGUUCGAUUCCUGGUCA